rnacentral:rRNA from 1 species
UACGGAGGAUCCAAGCGUUAUCCGGAUUUAUUGGGUUUAAAGGGUGCGUAGGCGGUCGGAUAAGUUAGAGGUGAAAUCCCGAGGCUCAACUUCGGAAUUGCCUCUGAUACUGUUCGGCUAGAGAGUAGUUGCGGUAGGCGGAAUGUAUGGUGUAGCGGUGAAAUGCUUAGAGAUCAUACAGAACACCGAUUGCGAAGGCAGCUUACCAAGCUACUUCUGACGUUGAGGCACGAGAGCGUGGGGAGCAAACAGG